rnacentral:lncRNA from 1 species
AUUGUUAAAAAAAAAAUAAAAUUAGUGGUUGUCCAUCACUAAACAUUAAGGAGAAUAGCUUCAAUAUUCACUAGUUUAACUAAAAAAUACUACUAUAAAAUAGUAGUUACCAAACAAUAAAUAAUAGAAACUAAUUUUUUGACUCAAUUUAAAUAUUAAAAACUACCACUAAACACUGUUGUCGAAUAGAGUCUUAAUAUUUUUCCCCUUUAUUAAAUCUUCUUGGCUUCUAUUUAUCAACCUUUUUUAUCACCUCCUUUUUUACUUUCUCACCUUUCUUAUUUGUAUUUCCCAUUAUUAUGUUGAGCCCAAGUGUCCAAAUGACUAUUCCUUAUAUGAACUCAUUAAUAUGACUAAAUCUCUUAGUUGUGAGGAGCUUCUGCUUCCUCUGGUCCACUUGUGAUAGCAAACUAGGUAGUAGCAAAGAUUAUAGGUUGUAGAGAAUACAGUCCUUAGGUUCUCAAAUUUACUCUAAGUAAAGCUUGGAAAACAUCUUCUAACUUUACAAUUAAUAGGAGUUUGAACGGGAGCUUAAUUUUCUAUUUUGAAGAUAUACAUGAACCGGCGAUGAUGUGACCGGUUACUUGAUAAGUGAUAUCGCCAGCUAAUAGGUUAGUGAUUUCGCGAUCACACAGGCAUGAUGAGGAUAUGCAGAACUGUCCCUAUUUAACAGUAACUUUAUAUCGAGGCUCGCCUCAUCUUGGGGAGAGCAAGUUUUGGUGAAGAUUUGAGUGUUAAAAUGCUCGAGUCUUCCAUUCCUCGGGCAAGACCAUAUUACUUACUUAUUAGAUCCUUACCAUGUGGCCUCUAUCUAGUGGUGACAACUCAUGGAUUAUUUUUGGCGAAUCUUAUGUAGCAUCAGAGGUCUCCCUGCUGGUUUUUUAUUCUUCAAAUUUGAAAGAGAUAUAUAUUUCCGAGAUCUGGGGUACGUAGCCCACUAAAAUUGGUCUUUCGUUGCUCAUGCCAUUUCACCUAUCUAGCCCCAUUAUGAUGACUGCUCUACUUAUUGUGCUACAUUUAAAGCUUGUCACCAAAACUAUUUUUAUAAGAGCCCAUCUCCUUCACUAAAUAAUACUUCUUGCUUUCAACUGCAAUCUUUUACUGUCAGAAAAAACUCGGCCGCCUCUUCUUUUUCCUUUAUACUUCAAGUAAUUUUUGUUUCCUUUUUCUUUUUCAGAAUGAACAGGAAUACUUCCUCUUCUCUUACCUCUAGUGGGAGUUCUGUUUCAAGCUCCUUCUCUGAUGACCCCAUUCGCACUCUGGCCCCUAUUGUUCCAUUGAGAGAGGCCUAAAAAAUGAGGGUAGCUCUAUUAGUGACAUCUUGUUACUCCUAUCGAAGUGAGAUGUAGAGUAUUUUUAUAUAUACUGAAUUCCUCGAGAAUCCUUUCGUAUCUUUGCUCCUCCAUGCGUUUGUGUGAACGACCUGAUUCUUGCGAAGGAUACUAUCGUGGUCUUUGAGGAGCAGCUGAAGGUAGGUCUUUGGUUCCCCAUAGACCUAUUCUUUGUUGACAUUCUUUGGUUCCACAAGCUUUUGAUUGCCUAAUUGCACCCCAAUAGUUGGAGAAACUUAGUGGCUUUUCGAUUUUUUCGCCUUAAUAAAUAAUUGAAUCGACCGUAGCCCUCUUCUCCUAGCUGUACUGGCUGGGUACUCGAAAAAAUGAAAAGUUUUGGUAUUUUAGCGAGCGAAAACACCUGACCAUGUUUGACUGGAUAUCUUCUUAAUUGAAGUGAUGGAAAAAUAAUUUUUUGUCCUUCACCACCGGAUGACUAGGGGUUUUAGGCGCCUUCAAAUAAGCUGACAGUUUUUGGUGGAACUGAAGAAGGAUGGUGAUCAAGCCAAAUUUAGUCCCAUUUUUCAUGUUAUUAUUAAUGCUAAAUUACACAUUUUCUACCUAAUUUUGUGGUUUUGAUCUUAUUUUGCAAAAAAUAGUGUAAAAGGGUGACUUGGUGAAAAAUGUCCUUAAAACUGUCCAAAGAAAGUAGAAGAGAUCAAGCCUGGUUUACCCAAGUCAGUUUGCCCAAACUAAGCUGCAACUGAAAUGGGAGAAGGAUGAAAAAUAGCACAGACUUGCUGUUUGGCCAAUUGUUUUUCCAAACAAACUGGGCAAACAAACUCUGCAGAACAAAAGCAGAACGACAGCCAGCACCAAAACAGACUAUUUGACUGGCUGUUUGCCCAAACAGUCAGGCAAACAGACUUUAAGACAGCAGACAGCAGAAACGCGGGAAAUUUAAAAUUCAAACCUCCAAGAAGUCUAUCCUAUCCCAAACACUUAAAGGCAACUCAGCAACUCACAAGGAUAGCUCAGCACACUAUCCCGCCUAUUAAGGAAGCCAAAUCUCAAGAAGAUUCAAUUGCCAUCAAGGAAUCCAACUCUAAAUAGGAAAAGAUCUCCAUCAAAUUAAGGAAACUUAGAGCUGCACAUUCAGAUAUAAAUAGAAAGCCAAACCAGUAACAAAGGCAUCAACUUCCACUUCAGAAAUCGCACUAGCAGCUACGCACCUCCAAGCAGCCGCCCAGCCGGCCCUUUUUCUUCUUCUUCUUGCUUUCUUUCUUUGAUUUUAUAUUAGUUUCAGCCAUGAGUGGCUAAAACCCCUUUUUCUAGUUGAAGAUUAGGUGAAACUUCAGUUUGUUAAUGGAUUGGGAGAUCUGAACAUAUUAUAUUAUUCUUUUAUUUAUCAAUAUUUAUGCAAUUUCAUGCUUAAUUCUGUCGUUGCUUUGUUGUUUAGAUCAAUAGGGCCCAUUGAUUCUUGAUUGCAAAGUGAUAAUUUGUUAGUUUGGAUAGUUUGAAGUCCAUAAUUGCUUGAAUUAUUCAAACACAAGUAACUCUUGGUGUAAAAACCAAGGAGAUUGCAUAAUCUAGCAAUAUCACCAUACGUUUGGGUAGCUAGAAUUAGUUCUCUCUAUUUCUUAAUGCAAUCAACAAAUGUAUGAUUCUAAAGCCCCAAAGACGUUCCUUGGCAACUUGUUGAUUAAUGAUUAAUUAGAGAACGUUUUCUAGUUAAUCUAUACUUAAGGAGGGAUAUGGUGGUGAGAAGCGUCUUCCACUCCUAUAACUAAUUUAUUGAGUCAAAUAAAAGAACCUAAGUGUCAAUGAUCAAUCCCAACAACUGAAGUGGAUCCGAUGCUUCAACUAGGCCUUUCUCAUUAUUGAAUUUUUGCACUUUAUUAUUUGCUUUAGUUUAUUGCUUUUAAUUUCAGUUUAAGUCACAAAACUCCAAAACCCCCCUUUGUUAUUUAUUUUUAGUUUAUUUACUAGUCAUUGAUAGAAAAAUAGGUGAGUAUCAAUUCCCUAUGGAUUCGAUCCUUUUGCCACUAUCUAGAGUUGUAAAAUUAUGGAUAACCAAAAAGGUUAUUUUUUACUGGUUUCGACAACCACACAGUCAAAAAUUGGUGCCAUUGCCGGGGAAUUGAUUCAACUAAUUUAUUUUUCUUUCAUGAUCAGGGCUGGACGCAAAGAUACUUCACUCUACAAUCCAGAAAUUGAGCGUACACCAAAAAAAUUAAGGAAGCAAGCCAACCCGAGGAGCCAAGUCUCAAAACCGUCCUCAUCAACAGCUGCUAUCCAAGAAACAAUACCUGCUGCUGUCCAAGAAUCAGCACUUGUUGAAACUGUCAUAACUGAACCAGAAUUUGCUGAACCAAUAGAACCAGCAACACUUACUGCUAAAACAGAAUAGCACACUGCUGAGACAAAACACAAUGCUGUUGAGUUUGCCCAAACAGCCGCUGAGAUGGCUGAAUUCAAUAUGCAACCUGCUGCACCUGUUCGAAGACCAACUGAACCUGUUGUUUUGCUGAUAUUGAACUAGAAAAUCAAGCAAUAAGAGUACCAAUCCUGAGAGAAAGAACACUAAGAGAAUUGGCAGCACCUAUAGGUGAUCAAGCACCUCUUUGCAUUACCUAUCCACCCUUAACAGCCCCUUUUGAGUUGAAAACAGGUUUGAUACUCCUUCUACCUAAAUUUAGAGGUAUGGAGAAUGAAGACCCCCCAUAAACACUUGAAGGAAUUCCACUUAGUAUGUUCUACCAUGAGGCCGCAAGGCAUAUCUGAAGAACAUGUGAAAUUGAGAGCAUUCUCAUUCUCACUUGAUGAUUAUGCCAAAGAUUGGCUAUUUUACCUACCACCCGGAUCAAUCACUUCUUGGGAUGGCAUGGUGAGAGCUUUUCUGAAUAAAUAUUUCCCAACUUCUAAAGCCAUAGGCAUAAGAAGAGAGAUAAGUGGCAUUAAGCAAAAAGAGACUGAAGAAUUGUAUGAGUAUUGGGAGACACUUAAGAGAUUGUGCACAAGUUGCCCUCAAUAUGACAUCUCAGAUAUAUCACUUUUAGAAUACUUCUAUGGAGGAUUGCUACCAUCUGAAAGAAAAUUCAUUGAUGUAGCAUGUGGAGGUUCCAUUGAAGAUAAAACGCCACAAGAAAUUAGGGAGUUGAUUUCAAUAAUGGCAGCCGCAUCUAAGCAAUAUGGAGAUGAAAGGCAACUGCCAAGGAGACUUAAUGAGGUAAGUACAUCUGCUCUUACUUCUCAAAUUUUUGAACUAACUUCUGCAGUGAGAAGUCUUGUUAUAGGUCAAGCUCAACAAGCUCAACAACUUCAACAAAUUAGGCCAGGUGGGAUAUGUGCACAUAUGGGACAUCCAACUGAUCAAUGUCCUACACUUUAAGAGGAUGACCAAUAAGUAAAUGCAAUUGGAGGAUUCAAUGGACAGCCAAGACAUGAUCCAUACUCUAACACUUACAAUCCAGGUUGGAGAGAGCAUCCAAAAUUUAGCUAUGCUAGGGCCAACAACUAUUAAAAUUAUCAAAGAAAUCCAGCCGAAGCAGCACCUCAAAAGUCCAACUUGCACCUUAAAGAGAUGAUGAAGUCAUUGGCAAAUACUGUGCAAAGUCUCCAACAACAAAUGGAUUAAAUAGCCACCUCCGUAAGCAAGCUUGAAUGUCAAGGGAAAUUACCUUCCCAAACUGAGGCUAAUCCCAAGCAAAAUGCAAGUGCCAUUGACUGUGCGGUUGUCGAAGCCGGUCAAAAAUAACCUUUUUGGUUAUUAACAAUUUUACAACUGUAGAUAGUGGCAAAAGGAUCGAAUUCACAGGGAAUUGAUACUUACCUAUUUUUCUUAUCAAGACCAAGUAAAUAAACUAAAAAUAAAAUAAAAGGGGGUUUUGAGAUUUGCUGAAUUAAACUAAUACUGAAAUCAAUAAAGUAAAGCAAAUAAUAAAGUAAAGAAGAUUCAAAUAUGAGAAAAGCUCUAGUUGAAGAAUUGGAUCCACUUCAGUUGUUGGGAUUGAUCAUUGACACAAAAAUUUCUUUAUUUGAUUCAAUAAAUUAAUUAUGGAGGUGGAAGACGCUUCUCACCUCCAUAUCCCUCCUUAAGCAUAAAUUAAUUAGGGAACGUCCUCUAAUUAAUCACUAAUCAACAAGUUGCUAAGGAACGUCCUUGGACCUUUGGCAUCUAACAACUGUCAAUUGCAUUAAGAAAUAGAGAGACCUAAUUCUAGCUACCCAAACGUAUGGUGAUAUUGCUAGAUCAUGCAAUUUCUUUAGUUUUUACACCAAGAGUUACUUAUGUUUGAAUAAUCCAAGCAAUUACAGACUUAAAACUAUCCAAACUAACAAAUUAUUAUUUUGCAAUCAAGAAUCAAUGGGCUCUAUUGAUCUAAACAACAAAGCAACAAUGGAUUUAAGCAUGAAAUUGCAUAAAUAUUGAUAAAUAAAAGAUAAACGUAAUAUGUUCAGAUCUCCCAAUCCAUAAAACAACUAAAGUUUCACCUAAUCUUCAACUAGAAAAAGAGGUUUUAGCCACUCAUGGCUGAAACAAAAAUAAAAGAAAGAGAAGAGAAAGAGGAAGAGGAACCGGUCGGCGGCUUGGAGAGAAGGAGGCGUGCGACUCUUCAAUCCGAAAGUGGAAAAGCUUCUUUCUUGCUUGUUUGUGAUCCUUUUAUAGCUAAAAGUGUUGCCCUAGAUUUCCUUGUUGAGAUAGAGCUCUCUUUUGAAUUUUGAAUUUUGAAUUUUGAAUUCUUGGAAGGCAAGUGUAUCUUCUUGAGAUUUGGCUUCCUAAAUAGGCAGAAUUGAGUGCUGAGGUGUCUUCAUAUUUUUAAUAAGGGAAAAUCUUCUUGAAGAUUUAAAAUUUGAAUUUUCCACUACUCUACUGUCUGUACUUUCCUUAUUUAUCUUCACUUUAGCUACAAUUUGGCUUGGGAAAACUAUGCUUGUUCUCCUUUAUCCUCUUUUAGGCAGUUUUAAGAGCAUUUUCAUCAAAUUACCUCUUUACACCGUUUUCUGUAAAAUAAGAUCAAAACUACAAAAUUAGAUAGAAAAUGUGUAAAUUAACAUUAAUAACAACAUGAUAAAUGGGUCUAAAUUUGGUCUAAUCAAAUACCCCCACACCUAACCCUUUGCUUAUCCUCAAGCAAAUAAACUUAGUCAAACAAGCUCUCUUUGCUACUUGAUCCUUUAUUUCCACUUAAGCUCUUACCCUAGACCCCUACUUUGAAGCAUUGCAGUGAAGGGUGUAUACACCAAGGUUACUCUCCUUCUUUCUUUGUCUCCCUUUACCUACCAUGGCUACUAAUUGUUUUCCUCACUAGAGAGAUUAUACAUGCACAUAUUCUUGUUCAGUUUAGACUUUUCCUAGCUCUCAAAGUGAUUUGCCUUUACUUAAAGCACUUUAUUUAGCUUUUUGCACUUUAUUCUUGCUUGAAAAAAUCACCAACCUUUUGACGUGAAGGUACAUAUUUGUGAUACCGACCUCCAGUUACUCAGUUGGUCACUUGUUCAAGUGGUUACUAGCUCUGUUCAUAGUCUUUGACCAUUGGAACAGUUUUUAAUUUGUGCUUUUGAAGUCUUUGCCUUUGCUGAAUUUCCUUUUCUCAAUGAAUUGGGCAAACCAAUACCAAUUGCUAAAACAAGUCAUAUUUCGUUAUUCACACAUCUUUAUUGUUUUCUCUAAUGAGUAAUAUCAUUUUUUUUUUCACCAUGGUAAGCUCAAAGAUUCAAUUCAAAAGGAAAUUCCUAAAAAUGAAUACAACUCACUGCAAUUGAUUCAACUUAGAUUUAAAGAGUCAUCACAUUAAUGGGGUCAUGGAAAGAAAGCUCAUUCAACAUAGCCUAUGCAUUUGAGUGAAGCAUACCAAAACAAAAAAACUGUAGCUACAUGUGGGUGCAUUAAAGGCAAAAUAACAAAAAUGAAAAAAAUUCACCUAAUGUAUGCUAACUAAAAAUUAAAGCUAAAAUGGACUUAAAACUUCAGAGAUAUGCACCCCCACACCUCAAAGAGAAAUCACAACUUUCUUCACUUCACCAUCUCUCCCAUAGAUCAAAAUAUUGAUAUGUAUACUCAAUCAUUAUUAUUAGAUGCAUAAUUGAAUAAUUGCUUAUUUUUAUUUCUUACUUCCUUUUUGUAUUGAUUUUUUAUGUGACCUUUCUAUUACAUCUAUGUAGAUAAUUAUUUGAAUAUUAAUUUGUGUUAGUCUGUUGGUAUUGUGCUUCUAACUUAUUAUAUUUGUGAGUUAGAUUACAAUCUCUUAUACUUAUAAAUUGUUUGAUAUAAUACUUAAGAGAUACAUGAAAUGCUUAUAAAUCUUGAAAGAUUUUGUUUGCUAGCUUAUUUUAUCUUUGAUUAGAUAGUGGUUAAAACCUCUAAUCAAUUUAAUUAUUUUUUACUUAGAUAAUAUAAAAACCAAAAAAUUAAAUUUUAAAUGUUAAUAAUAAUAUCAAUAAAUUAUUUUUUAUAAAUAUUUUCAAUUCGAUAAAAAUUAUUGUUGUUAUAAGUAUAAACAUUAAUGUUUAGCUUAAAAGAUAAUUAAGGAUAAUAAAGUAAAUAAAUUAGUUUAAAUUGAUUGCUAAUUUAUUCCAAAUAAAAGAAUUCUAUUGAAUUCUAUUGUUUUCAAAUUAUUCCAAAUAAGAGAAUUAUUUCACUGGUAGAAAAUGAAUUGAAUUCUAUUAAUGGAAUUAUAUUCAUUUCUUACAAGAAUUACAUUUCAAACGGGACUUAGUGUCUUGAUAUAUUUUAGAUGGAACUAUUAUAUGAUAUUAUAAAUAUUUGAUAUUAUUUUGAAGUUGAAAUGUGAAACUUAUUAGUUUGAUAUAAAUAAUAUUAGUAUUAUGUUAGAAAUAUUUAAUUAUUUCAUUCACGUUUAAAUUUUAUUAUAUGAAUCAAAAACCGUACCGAAAUUGAAAUAAAAAUAAGAACUAAUAUUAUAACUGAACUGAAAUCGAAAAUCUAUAAAAUCGUAUCGGAAUUGUACCAAAAUUUAGAUAUGGUUCUGAUUUCAAAAAACUUAAGGAAUUGACUUUUGGUUUCGAUUCUGAAUCCGGUUUUUAAAAGAAACCAUAUCAGAAUUGGAAUCAAACACCCUCUAGUUUAUGCUAUGCUUAGCAUAUUUGUGGUCCACUCACAAUUGACGUAUUAUAUUCUUCUUGAGGCUCCCUUCAUCACCGUAUAAAAAAGAAACCAUUACAUGUGUAAUAAUUAAAUGCUUAAUUAACAUUUGGCCUAACAUGGUUUGAUUUAGUAGUCAGAUUUGAGUUUCUACUAUUCUAUCCCCUAAUUAAAAAAAAUGCUUGAUAUUUUAUAAAUCUAACGGGUUGUAAUGCAAUUUCUAGGUGGUGGAAAAAUUUGAACUUUACAACAAAACUUCCUUUUAUACGAGAUAGAGUGGUAGAGAGUUACUUUUGGAUUCUGGGAGUAUAUUAUGAACCUUAAUUCUCUUUUGUGAGAUGGUUUUUAACCAAGGUAAUUUCAAUAGCAUCGGUUAUAGAUGAUAUAUAUGAUGCCUAUGGUGCACUUGAAGAGCUUAAAGUCUUCACCCAUGCUAUUGAGAGGUUUGGCCUCCUCUCUCUCUCUUCAUACACAUACUUGUUUUGAGAUAAGGUUAAACUGAAUGAGUUUUUAUUUAUUUUUCAGGUGGGAUAUAAAACACUUUUAAAUAUUUAUGAAGAAAUUGAGAGGGAGUUAACCAAGCAAGAAAGAUCAAUUUUAUUUCAUUAUGCCAAGAAAGAGGUACUUCCCUCUUCUAAUUUUAUUUUUUUGCUAUAUUUAUAGUAUUUGAAAGCCCUAAAAAAGAUAAUUACUUGAGGAAAGGGGUUAUAACACUUGAAUCCAAAAACUAGAAUGAAGCAAGAGAUGCCACAAUCUAUCUUGACAAAACAACCUUCUCUUAAAUCACGAUACUAACACUUUUAUAGUUUAAAAAUUACUUAUUUAUAUUUGCAGAGAUAAAUAAGGAAAAAAAUUUGUUUUCCUAUAUAUUUUUACAAAAUGCAUUUGUAAUACCAAGCUAGACCCCGGCAUCGGAAUUCCUAUUUUUCGGUGGAAUCUCGGAUGUCGGAAACCUCUAGAAGGGUAAAAUGUGUUUUUCUAAAAUGUUUUCAUGUGUUUUAAGGUUUUAAGUAAGAAAGAAAUUGAGUUUUUGAAAGAAAAGUGCCUUGGAAGGAAAUCCAGGUUCGGCCGCCGAACGUUGGUGACUUUAGGGAGCACCUUUGGCCCUCGAAGGUGGUCUGACCAGCCACCUAUAAAAGGCCCCAUGUCUGAAAAUGGACGAGUUUUCUUCCCCAUUUUCGGGCAAAGGUGGGUCCAUGCCCUUCCAUGGUUAGUUUUGGUGAUUUUCUUCAAAUCGUUCAUGUUUUUUAUGAGUUUUAAUUUGGUUUUGAAGAUUUUGAGCAAAGAGCGAAGUUUUGAAGCUUGGAGACCCCAGAGCUCGAUUUCUCCCAUCUCCGAGUUUGGAUCGCCUCUCCUCUCGAUUUUCAAGAGGUAAGUGGGUGUCCUACCUUUCUUUUAUGUUUUGAAUAAGUUUUGAGAGGUUUUAAGGGGGUUUUAUGCAUGAUUAGAGUAGUGGUAAAUGUUAGGGUUUAUGUGAGUCAAAUGAUGAAAUGUAUGUUUAUUGUAUGCUAUAUGUUAUUGUUUGUUGGGGUAUAGGAUAGUUUGAGACCCCUAUAUGCUUGUGUACAUGUUUAUGCAUGUUUGGGAGUGUUGUGCAUGAGUUUGGGAAGUUUGGGAGGCAAAAUGUGCAUGAGGGGCUUGAGUUCUCCCAUUCUGGAAGAACUCAGAUUCGGCUGCCGAAGCCAUGUUCAGCCGCCGAACCUGCCUGGGGAGGCAGUUUUGGCUGCCGAACCCUGCCCCUGAAAGUUUGGACUUUCGGCUCUGGAAGGAGGUUUCGGCCGCCGAACCUGCCCCCGAAGGUUGGCGAGUUUCUGCUCUGGAACCACUUUCGGCCGCCGAACCUGCCGCCGAAAGUGGCUGAGUUUCGGCUCUGGAGGAACUUUCGGCCGCCAAAAGUGCCCUGUUCAGCCUUCCUUUGCCUGUUUUCUAUGAUUGUUUUAAGGUGUUUUAGGGGGUUUUUGGGGAGAUGUUUAGAGUUAUGUUAGAGUGUGUUUGGUCCCUCAUUUGAGUCCACCUGUGUAGGUUCGGACCCGAGGAACCGAGGACCCUAGCAGUGAGGUAGCUGCUUCAGAGUCUGUUCAGAGUCAGCUUGAGGUGAGUAGAAUGGAUCUUUAUGUUUCAAAGUAAAUAAAUUUUGAGCAUGUUCAUGCAUCACGAUUGCCAUGAUAUGUAUUAGGUUGUUUUGCAUUAGAAAUCACGAAUAUGACGCAUUGCAUAAUAUGAUGUAGAUGUGGAUGGAUGUUGGAUGAUCCAUUGGCCCUUGAUAUGAUAUGACAUGAUAUGAUAUGGUAUGGAAGUCCAGGACGAGACCCAUUCUAUGCCCUUGGCACAGAGUAAGAGAAAGACCAAGUCGAGGCCCAUUUUACACCCCUGGCACUAUUGGAAUGUUAUGUUAUGUGAUGCUAUAUUAAGAGAAAGUCUAAGUCGAGGCCCAUUCUACGCCCCUAGCAUAUUGGAUAUGGUAGAGGGUCAUUGGUGAUAAGUCCAUCCUUGAUGUGAAUUAUUUGUGAUGUGAUGCAUUCCAUGAAAGCAUAUGUUUUAAUAUAUUGUUUCACUAUUCUGCUCACUAGGCUCUAGUAGCUCACCCCUUUCCCUUAACCCCUAGGUUUGCAGGUUCGGGAUAGACCAGGAGGUCAGCAAGAGUAAAAGCAUAGUGUAUGUAAUAGUUAGUUGUGGACAUGAAGGAUAAUGUAAUGUAUUGUAAGAUAUUGUUUAAAUUUGUAUUGAGGAUUAGUAUUGUGCUUGACUCUAGAGUUUAUGGUUAAUCCCUUUUGAUACAUGAUCUUUAUGUAAUGUUUUAAUGUAUUUGUUGUAAACCAAGCUUGAUGCAUGUAAUGUUGACCCAACUAGAGCAUUUGAUGAGGGCUCUAGUGUGGGGUUUUUAUGUAUUCAGUGUUAGUGCAUGCAUAGGUCAAGCUUGGUAGAUGGAAAGUUUAAAAUUUUAAUGUAAUUGUAUGAUCAUGUAUGGGAUUUAUUAGGUAUGUCAAGUUGUAUGCUAGGCUUGCUACGGGUCCCGGCGACCUUAAGUCGAUCUGGAUCUUAGCGCCGGUAGCGGUCCGAUUUCGGGUCGUUACAAAUUGGUAUCAGAGCCCUAGGUUCACAUGAUCGGACCUAGAGAGUGUCGGGCUCAUAGAUGUUCUAGAAGGGCAAGCACAAUAGGAAAAUCAUGUCCAUUAGGAUAGGAUGUAGAGUCCUGUCUUGAAUGAUGAUGUGAAGUGCCAUGAUUUUAUACAUGUGCAUUAAUGAUAUGUGAUGUAUGUAAUGCGGGUUCAUGUGUUUCCACAUGAACCAUUUGAUGCUAAUGUUUUUGUGAUGUGUGUUGUUUUUCAGAAGCAGAAUGCGAGGUACUCGUCGAUCUGCACAAUUGACUGGAGUCCCACCAGAAAGUGAGGGUAUGGAUGCCCGUCCCCCUGCAUUGCCGAGGGCAAUGUCCUGCAGAUAUAGUAGGGAAAGAGUGUCAAGGGACCCUAGAAGGUCUUUUGAUGCAAGCAGAAUGGGAGCAGUUCAGGGAGGAGUGUCAGUUGAGGGGGAUGAAAUGGAUGUUGACCAGAGAAGGGAUGGAAGUCUGGCAGUAAGCAUGUCUGAGGAGGGCAUGGGUGUAACGACCCGAAAAUCGGACCGCCACCGGCGCUAGGAUUCAGGUCGACUUAAGGUCGCCAAAACCCGUAGCAAGCCUGCUCUACUCCCUGUGUACCUGUAAAUUCCAUACAUGGUCAAACAUUUUCUGUGAAAAUAAAAACUUUUCUCUGACCAAGGCUCACCCGGUGCAUGCACUAUCUCUGUACUACAGAACCCCUGACUAGAGCUUGCUCUAGAUGGGUUAACUCAUACUUGUUAAGCCUGGUUUUUCACAUACUCAUAAAACAGUGACAUAAACAGACCAUAUAUACACAAGAUUUACAUGACAAAAUAACUAAGUCAAGCACAACUCUAACUGUAUAUACAACUCGUACAUCUCUUUGACAUUACAUGUCCACACUAUGCUAUUCCACAACUCUUUUCUCUUCCUGUACCCUGCUGGAUUUCCCCUGUAUACUGAUCCUGCAAAACUGGGGUUAAGGGAGUGGGAUGAGCUCUAUAGACCAGUGAGUAGAACAAUAAAACAGGUCAUUAGAACAUGCGCUUAUGGAAUGCAUCAUAUCACAGACAAGUCAUAUCAAGGGUAAACCUGUCACCAAAUAGUCCCAGUAUCCUUUCCGUGCCAGGGCGUAGAAUGGGCACCUGGUCUUCCUGUCAUAUAUAUCUAUACGUGUAUAUAACACCUAUACUUACCAUUGUGCCAGAGCGUAGAAUGGGCACCUGGUCUUCCUGUCAUAUAUAUCUAUACGUGUAUAUAACACCUAUACUUACCAUUGUGCCAGGGCGUAGACUGGGCACCUGGUCUUUCCUAUACCUGCCAGGGUGUAGAAUGGGCACCUGGUCUUUCCUCAGAGACUAAUUGGAUCAUUCAGCAUCCACCCACAUCAACAAAUAAGUAUGCAAUGCAACAUCUUCAUGGAUUCUAAUGCAAUCAACCUAUUGCGUAAUCAUGGUGCAUGAAAUAUGCUAAAAGCAUUCAAUGUCUCAAUUAAAACGAGUAUUAAGUUUAGUUCCACUCACCUCUGGCUAUCUCUGGACUGACUCUGCACACCUGCAGUACUCACUGCUGCUCUCUUUGGUUCCUCUGGUCUGUGCCUACACAGAUGGACUCAAAUGAGGGACCAAACUAGCUCAAAAACACCUCUAUAAAACUCCCCAAGAAUCCCCUUAGACACCUUAAAACAAUCAUGCAAAAAAUGCAAAGGAAGGCUGGACAGGGCACUUUCGGCAGCAGGUUCGGCGGCCGAAAGUCUUCUCCAGAACCGAAACUCAUGCACCUUCGGCGGCUGAAUCUCUACUUUCGGCAGCCGAACCCUUUCGGGGGCUGAAAGGCACUCCAGAGACAAAAGUCCAUAACCUUCGGCGGCACCUUCGGCGGCUGAAACUCCCCUCCAGAGCCGAAAGUCCAAACUCUCGGGAGCAAGCUUAGGCAACCGAAGCCACCUCCUCAGCACAUUCGGCGGCCGAUCCUUUCUUCGGCGGCCGAAGCUGGUUUCAUCAAGAAGGCAGAACCUGUUCUGCCUCACGCCAAAACACACCAAUCUCAACCAAACUCAAACACCACAAUUCCUCUACAUCCAUAUACUCAGUAUAUGCACAAAGGGGUCAAAAACUACCUAAAAACCCCAACAAACAACAAAGCAUAACACACAAACAUGCUUGUAUCACCAAAACAUCAAAAACUCACUCUUUACCCUAUUCAUGCAACUCUCCCCACAAACUCCAUCAAACUUCCAUAAAACAUAAUAACAAGAUCAGGAUCUUCACUUACCUCUUGAAAUCAAGAAGAUGAACGAUCCUAACGUGGAGAUAUGGAGCAACUCUCCUUCAAACUCUCCAAACUUCAAAACUUGAGUUUAUAGGUUAAAAACCUUCAAAAUAACAUGAAAACCAAUCAAACCUUUGCAAGAUGUGAUGAACACAUGAAGCAUACCUAAGGAAGACAAGGUCUCACCUCUGAAAGUGAAAGAAAAAGGCAAUCCUUAUCAUUUCAACCGACUGAGGGCCUUUUAUAGGUGGCUGGCCAGACCACCUUCGGCGGCCUAUCGUGAAACCGAAAGCCAUGCAUGUUCGGCGGCCGAACCUCACCUUCGACGGCCGAACCUGGCUUUUCUUCCUUGGUGCUUUUCUUUCAAAAACUCAUGUCCUAUGAACUUGAAAACUAGCAAAUAUACUAAAAUACUUUAGAAAACCAUAAAUCUUACCCUUCUAGAGGAUUUCGACAUCCUGGAUCCCACCGGAAAGGAGAAUUCCGAUGCCGGACUCGAGUCGGGUAUUACAAUGGGAGAAUCUCAAGGAGGCACUCAGGCCUUGGGGUUUGCUCAACCACCCCAAUAUCAACCCUUUCCACAGGGCCCUGGGUAUUCGAUGGGAGGUACAUUGGAUUACCCCAGCUUUAACCCUUAUCCCUCUUUCAUGCCUUAUCCACCAUACCCCCAAUACGCAAUGUAUCUACCCUCACCUUUCUAUCCAAAUGUAACAAACCCUAAUCAAAGGAAUGUUGCACCUCUUCCACCACACCUUGAACCUGUAGCUCCUGAAGUCCAAGUACCUAAGCCUAGCUCAUUUAGAGGGAGCAGAGUUAAGAUGACAGACUACUUGAAGCUGAAUGCUCUCAAGUUCAAGACGGAAGAUGAUCCAUUUGAGUACCUGAAGACAGCUAAAAUGAUUACAGAUGAGUUAGGGGCAGAUGAUUGUAGAGUCAUUCAGAUGGCGGGGUUCACUCUUAAAUGCAAAAAGGCCCGUGAGUGGUUUAAAAACUAUGUGGACCCAAGAUUGGUCAGUUUAACCUGGGAGGAGUUUGCUAAUGAAUUUGUAGGAUGGGCUUUCCCUGAUAGCUCAAGGGAGUUGAGGAUAAUUGAGUUUGAAUAAUUAAGGCAGACUGAGGAGAUGAGUGUGGAUGAGUUUACAGAUAAGUUCUUGGAGCUGUUGCCAUUUGUGGAGCAGACUUAUGACACAGACCAGAAGAAAGCAAAGAGGUAUACCAUGAGGCUCCACUCUAGGUAUUCCCCCUAAUUCUGGCAGCAGAGAGGGAGAGCUUCCACACUAUAGUGGAUGCAGCGCGGAAGAUGGAGGCUAGUGCCAUCAUUCAGGGGACAGUUAAGCAGUCUGUGGCACAGUCUUCGGGUUCCAAGACCCCAGGCAGGGGAAAGUUAGAUCCCUCUUCUCUGAGUGCAGCAGCUUCAGGCAGUAAGAAAUGGGGUAAAGCCAAAGUCAAGAAGAAUAAGUUCUGGAAUCGCUUGAAAUCAGGUCUGGGACUCGGUGGUGGCUCGAGCUCGGGUUCAGAUGGUACAGAGUGUUUGAGGUGUGGUAAGCUACACAAGGGAGUGUGUCGGUUUGGGACCAUAGCCUGCUUCCGAUGUGGGCAAGAGGGACACAUGGCUCGGGAGUGUCCUAGGGCACCUUUUAUGGCUCAGUCCUAGCAGACAGCCUCUGGUAGUGUGGCUCAGCCAGCAGCUCCAGCCAUGACUCAGGGCAGUGGCAGAGGCCGAGGGAGAGGGGUAGCCUUUUCUUCAGCAGGUUUCUAAGGUGAAGGUCCAUCAGCUCCAGCUCGGAUCUUCACUAUGACACAGUAGGAGGCAAAUACAUCCAACACCGUGGUGUCAGGUAAUCUCAUCAUUGGUUGUUCUGAUGUAUAUGCUUUAAUGGACCCUGGUGCUUCUCAUUCUUUUAUUACUCUGAGAGCCGUAGAGAGGUUGGGUUUGAUAGUCUCUGGGUUAGAGUGUCCCCUCUAGGUCAGUGGACCCAAGUGUGAUCCAUCAGUGGCAGAGUCAGUCUGCCGGUAUAGUCCAGUGUUUGUGGAGAGUAGAUGCCUUCCAGCCGACCUUGUGAUUCUAGACUUGACGGAUUUUGAUGUCAUUCUAGGGAUGGAUUGGCUAUCUGCUCAUGGUGCUACCUUGGACUGCAGAGAUCAGGAUGGGUCAAAGGUUGUCUUCAGAGGAGACAGGAGGGGUACGCCUAGAGGUCUGAUAUCAGCCCUACAGGCUCGUACGUUGCUCAGGAGAGGUUGUCAGGGGUUUCUAGCUCAUGUGAGAGAGCUGGAUAGUCAGGUUAGGGAGCCCGCCUCAGUGCCCGUGGUCAGAGAGUUUUCAGAUGUCUUCCCAGAUGAGCUUCCAGGACUACCACCUGCUAGGAAGAUAGAGUUUGAAAUAGAAUUGAUGCCUGGAACCAGACCAAUCUCUAUCCCUCCCUACAGGAUGGCACCAGCAGAGUUGAAGGAACUAAAGGAGCUGUUGUGAGAGUUGGUAGACAAGGGUUUCAUCCGACCGAGUACCUCACCUUGGGGUGCUCCAGUGCUGUUUGUGAAGAAGAAGGAUGGAUCCUUGAGACUUUGUAUCGAUUACAGGCAGUUGAACAAAGUCACUACCAAGAAUAAGUAUCCGUUACCUAGGAUCGACGAUCUAUUCAACCAGCUAGCAGGAGCAGGUUAUUUUUACAAGAUAGAUCUGAGAUCCGGGUACCACCAGCUGAGAAUAAGAGAAGAAGAUGUGCCGAAGACAGCAUUCAGGACCAGAUAUGGGCAUUAUGAGUUCCUAGUAAUGCCGUUUGGGCUAACCAAUGCCCCUGCAGCAUUCAUAGAUCUCAUGAAUAGAGUGUUUAGCCAAUAUCUGGAUCACUUUGUUAUUGUCCUCAUUGAUGAUAUCUUAGUGUAUUCCAGAAACACGGAGGAGCAUGCCCAUCAUCUGAGGAUAGUUCUGCAGAUCCUGAGGGAGCAUGGCUUGUAUGCCAAGUUCUCCAAAUGUGAAUUCUGGUUGAGGAGCAUCUCAUUCUUGGGGCAUGUUGUAUCAGAAAAAGGAAUUGAAGUGGACCCCAAGAAGGUGGAAGCUGUAGCUAACUGGCCUAGACCCACUACAGUUACAGAGAUUAAGAGCUUUUUGGGUUUGGCAGGUUACUACAGGAGGUUCAUUCAGGACUUCUCUAAGAUUGCUGCUCCUAUGACCAGAUUAACCAAGAAGAAUAAGAAGUUUGUGUGGUCUGAUCAAUGUGAGGAGAGCUUCGAAGAGUUGAAGAAAAGGUUGACGUCAGCACCGGUGUUAGCUCUGCCUACCAGCAAUGAAGACUUCACAGUGUUUUGUGAUGCAUCCCGUGUGGGACUAGGUUGUGUGUUGAUGCAAAAUGAGAGGGUAAUUACUUAUGCUUCUAGGCAGCUGAAGAAGCAUGAGUUGAAUUAUCCUACACAUGACCUAGAGAUGGCAGCUGUGAUCUUUGCACUCAAGAUGUGGAGGCAUUACCUGUAUGGGGUUAAAUGUGAGAUCUUCAUAGAUCAUAAAAGCUUGCUGUAAUACCCGGCUAGACUCCGGUAUCGGAAUUCCUACCGUCCGAUGGAAUCUCGGAUGUCGGAAGCCUCUAGUAGGGUAAAACCAUGUUUUUAUAAAAUGUUUUAAUGUGUUUUAUGUUUUAAGCAUGAAAGAAAAUGAGUUUUUGCAUGAAAAUAGCAUUGGAGGAAAACUCAGGUUUGGCCGCCGAACCUCAAGUUCGGCCGCCGAACAUGCAUGCGUUGCGGGUGUGCUUUAGGCCCCCGAAAGCAUAAGUGAGGGAAGUCCAGGUUCGGCCGCCGAACCCCAAGUUCGGCCGCCGAACAUGGCAUGCAUGCGGAGGCACAUUUGGCCCCCGAACGUGGUCUGGCCAGCCACUAUAAAAGGGUCCCUUAGCCGAAAACGGGCGAGCUUUUUCCCCUAUUUUCGGUCAAGGUGAGUCUCCGUCGCCCCUCACCCAUCUUUGACGUCUUUCCUCUAAAUCUUUCAAGGUUUUCACUUGUUUUCACUUUGUUUUGAAGAUUUGAGCUUUUGAGCAAAGUUUUGGAGCUUGGAGGUUCAAGAACCCAAUCUCUCCCAACUUCGAGUUUAGGUCGUCUCUCUCUCGAUCUUCAAGAGGUAAGAGCCGAUCUUAAGCUCAUUGCNNNNNNNNNNNNNNNNNNNNNNNNNNNNNNNNNNNNNNNNNNNNNNNNNNNNNNNNNNNNNNNNNNNNNNNNNNNNNNNNNNNNNNNNNNNNNNNNNNNNNNNNNNNNNNNNNNNNNNNNNNNNNNNNNNNNNNNNNNNNNNNNNNNNNNNNNNNNNNNNNNNNNNNNNNNNNNNNNNNNNNNNNNNNNNNNNNNNNNNNNNNNNNNNNNNNNNNNNNNNNNNNNNNNNNNNNNNNNNNNNNNNNNNNNNNNNNNNNNNNNNNNNNNNNNNNNNNNNNNNNNNNNNNNNNNNNNNNNNNNNNNNNNNNNNNNNNNNNNNNNNNNNNNNNNNNNNNNNNNNNNNNNNNNNNNNNNNNNNNNNNNNNNNNNNNNNNNNNNNNNNNNNNNNNNNNNNNNNNNNNNNNNNNNNNNNNNNNNNNNNNNNNNNNNNNNNNNNNNNNNNNNNNNNNNNNNNNNNNNNNNNNNNNNNNNNNNNNNNNNNNNNNNNNNNNNNNNNNNNNNNNNNNNNNNNNNNNNNNNNNNNNNNNNNNNNNNNNNNNNNNNNNNNNNNNNNNNNNNNNNNNNNNNNNNNNNNNNNNNNNNNNNNNNNNNNNNNNNNNNNNNNNNNNNNNNNNNNNNNNNNNNNNNNNNNNNNNNNNNNNNNNNNNNNNNNNNNNNNNNNNNNNNNNNNNNNNNNNNNNNNNNNNNNNNNNNNNNNNNNNNNNNNNNNNNNNNNNNNNNNNNNNNNNNNNNNNNNNNNNNNNNNNNNNNNNNNNNNNNNNNNNNNNNNNNNNNNNNNNNNNNNNNNNNNNNNNNNNNNNNNNNNNNNNNNNNNNNNNNNNNNNNNNNNNNNNNNNNNNNNNNNNNNNNNNNNNNNNNNNNNNNNNNNNNNNNNNNNNNNNNNNNNNNNNNNNNNNNNNNNNNNNNNNNNNNNNNNNNNNNNNNNNNNNNNNNNNNNNNNNNNNNNNNNNNNNNNNNNNNNNNNNNNNNNNNNNNNNNNNNNNNNNNNNNNNNNNNNNNNNNNNNNNNNNNNNNNNNNNNNNNNNNNNNNNNNNNNNNNNNNNNNNNNNNNNNNNNNNNNNNNNNNNNNNNNNNNNNNNNNNNNNNNNNNNNNNNNNNNNNNNNNNNNNNNNNNNNNNNNNNNNNNNNNNNNNNNNNNNNNNNNNNNNNNNNNNNNNNNNNNNNNNNNNNNNNNNNNNNNNNNNNNNNNNNNNNNNNNNNNNNNNNNNNNNNNNNNNNNNNNNNNNNNNNNNNNNNNNNNNNNNNNNNNNNNNNNNNNNNNNNNNNNNNNNNNNNNNNNNNNNNNNNNNNNNNNNNNNNNNNNNNNNNNNNNNNNNNNNNNNNNNNNNNNNNNNNNNNNNNNNNNNNNNNNNNNNNNNNNNNNNNNNNNNNNNNNNNNNNNNNNNNNNNNNNNNNNNNNNNNNNNNNNNNNNNNNNNNNNNNNNNNNNNNNNNNNNNNNNNNNNNNNNNNAGUUUGCCUACAAUAACAGCCAUCAUGCUAGCAUCGGGAUGGCUCCAUAUGAAGCUUUAUAUGGGAGGAAGUGCAGGUCACCUGUUUGCUGGGAGGAAGUUGGAGAAAAGGCCUUGGCAGGGCCUGAGCUAGUAGAGAUCACCAGCAGGGUGGUACCCUUAAUCAGAGAAAGAAUCAAGACUGCAGCAAGCAGACAGAAGAGUUAUGCAGACAUCUGCAAAAGGCUAAUAGAGUUUCAGGAGGGGGAUCUGGUAUUGCUCAAGGUGUCUGCAAUGAAGGGAGUGGUUCACUUCGGGAAGAAAGGUAAACUAGCCCCACGAUACAUCGGACCCUUUGAAAUCUUGCAGAAGAUUGGGAAUGUGUCGUAUAAGCUAGAUUUGCCUGCUUCUAUGGCAAGAAUCCAUCCGGUUUUCCAUGUUUCAAUGUUGAGAAAAUUUGUGUCAGAUCCGGACAAGGUUCUUAGUGAGCCUGAUGUGGAGAUCCAAGAGGAUCUCACCUAUGUUGAGCAGUCGGUACGGAUCCUAGACACCCAGAUCAGAAAGCUAAGAAACAAGGAAAUCCUGAUGGUGAAGGUCCUUUGGAACCACCACAAUCUGGAAGAGUGCACUUGGGAGACUCGGGAGUCUAUGCUCCGGCAAUAUCCUCAUCUCUUUUAAGGUUAGUCCCUAUGUGUUUUAUGUGUAUGUUGUGAUGACUCUAUGCUUGUACUAGUUGAGGAACAUUCGGGGACGAAUGUUCUUAAGGGGGGGAGAAUGUAAUACCCGGCUAGACUCCGGUAUCGGAAUUCCUACCGUCCGCUGGAAUCUCGGAUGUCGGAAGCCUCUAGUAGGGUAAAACCAUGUUUUUAUAAAAUGUUUUAAUGUGUUUUAUGUUUUAAGCAUGAAAGAAAAUGAGUUUUUGCAUGGAAAUAGCAUUGGAGGAAAACUCAGGUUCGGCCACCGAACCUCAAGUUCGGCCGCCGAACAUGCAUGCGUUGCGAUUGUGCUUUAGGCCCCCGAAAGCAUAAGUGAGGGAAGUCCAGGUUCGGCCGCCGAACCCCAAGUUCGACCGCCGAACAUGGCAUGCAUGCGGAGGCACAUUCGGCCCCCGAACGUGGUCUGGCCCCCGAAAGGAGACUUUCGUCUCUGUCUGGGAGUUUCGGCCGCCGAAGGUGCCGCCGAACCUGCCUGACUUUCGGCCGCCGAACCUGCCGCCGAAAGUGCCCUGUCCAGGCCUCCUUUGCAUGAUUUUGUAUGGUUGUUUCAUGAUGUUUUAGGGGGUUUUUGGGGAGUAGUUUAUAGUUAUGUUCAGGUAUGUUUGGUCCCUCAUUUGAGUCCACCUGUGUAGGUUCGGACCCGAGGAACCGAGGACCCCAGCAGUGAGUUCAGCUGCUUCGGUGUUGUCAGAGUCAGCCAGAGGUGAGUGGAACUAAACCUAAUCUUUUAAAUUAAAUGUUUUAUCAUGUUUCAUGCAUCAUGAUUAUGCAAUAGGAUGAUUCCAUUAGUUUUCACGAAUAUGCCGCAUUGCAUCGAUUGUUGUUGAUGUGGGUGAAUGUUGGAUGACCCAAUUAGUCCAAGACAGGAAGACUAGGACCCCAUUCUACGGCCUGGCACAGAGUAAGGAAAGACCAGGACCCCAUUCUACGGCCUGGCACGGUUAUGGGACUCGAAGACCAGGAGCCCAGAGAAGGCCCUGGGAUAAUGGUAAGUAAUGUAUGUAUGACAGGAAGACCAGGACCCCAUGCUACGGCCUGGCACAGAGUUAACUUGGACUAAUUGGUGACAAGUUCACCCAACCCUUAUGUGAAUUGUCUGUAUUAUGAUGCAUUUCAUUGGAGCAUAGUGUUAAUAUGUUUUAUAGUCCUACUCAUUGGGCUUUUAGCUCACCCCUCUCCCUUUACCCCCAGGCUUGCAAGUACGGUAUAGUGCGGGAGUCCGGAUAGAGUAAAGAAGUCAUGUUUAUGUAAUAGCUAGCAAUGGACAUGAUCGAAUUGUAAUGUAAUGUCUUAAGUACAGUAUAGUUAUGUAAUGAUGUUUAUGGAUGAUUAGAGGUGUGCUUGACCAUAGAUGUUGUAAUCCCUUUUAAUACAUGAUCUUGGUUAUUUUAUGAUGUUUAUGUAAACCAAUUCAACAUAUGUUGUGUCACCCAUUGGGGGCACUGAUGAGAUCCCACUGAGGGAUCAAUGUUAUGAUUAUGUUAAGUAUAUGUAUAUGCACAGGUUGAGUUUGGUUGAUGUACAUGGAAAGAAAAGUUUUAAUUUUUAUGUAUGUUGUUGAUCAUGUAUGGGAUUAAGCAGGUUCACAGGAUGCAUGUUAGGCUUGCUACGGGUCCCGGCGGCCUUAAGUCGACCCGGAUCCUAGCGCCGGUAGCGGUUCGAUUUUCGGGUCGUUACACUUGCAGUACAUCUUGAGUCAGAGGGAGUUAAACCUGAGGCAGAGAAGAUGGGUAGAACUGCUUAGUGAUUAUGAUUGCAAAAUUCAGUACCAUCCGGGUAAGGCAAAUGUUGUGACAGAUGCCCUAAGCCGGAAGUCACUUGGCAGUCUAUCCCAUAUUACAGCAGAGAGGAGACCGGUGGUGAGGGAGUUCAAUAAGCUCUUUGAUGAAGGGCUGCAAUUGGAGUUGUCUGGUACAGGUGCUUUGAUAGCCCAGAUGAGAGUGACACCCGUGUUUCUGGAGCAGGUAGCUCAGAAACAGCAUGAGGACCCAGAGUUAGUGAAAAUUGUCAGGACUGUUCAGUCAGGUAAGAAUGAAGAGUUCAGAUUUGACAGUAAGGGGAUCCUCCACUACGGGAGCAGGUUAUGUGUGCCAGAUGACGUGAGUCUGAAGGGUGACAUUAUGAGGGAAGCUCAUAAUGCCAGCUGUAGUGUUCAUCCUGGAGCCACCAAAAUGUAUCAUUGGCCAGCUAUGAAAAGAGAAGUGGCACAGUUCGUGUUCGCCUGCGAGGUAUGUCAGAGGGUGAAGCUGGAACAUCAGAAGCCGGCUAGAAUGCUUAACCCACUAUCGAUUCCAGAGUGGAAAUGGGAGAAUAUAGCUAUGGAUUUUGUGGUGGGGUUACCGGCAGCGUCCAACAGAUUAGACUCCAUAUGGGUGAUUGUGGAUAGACUGACCAAAUCUGCUCACUUCAUCCCUGUCAGAAGUAGCUAUUCUGUAGACAAAUUGGCGCAGGUGUUUGUUGAUGAGGUGGUCAGGCUGCAUGGGGCUCCUAUUUCAAUAGUGUCAGAUAGAGGACCCCAGUUUAUCUCCAGGUUUUGGCGGAGUCUGCAGAAUGCUAUGGGUACCAGGCUGGAUUUUAGCACUGCUUUCCAUCCACAGACGGACGAACAGUCAGAGAGGACCAUCCAGACAAUUGAAGAUAUGCUCAGAAUGUGUGUGCUAGAUUUUGGCAGUUCUUGGAGGCAACAUCUACCCUUGGUGGAGUUUGCCUAUAAUAACAGCUAUCAUGCUAGCAUCGGGAUGGCUCCAUAUGAAGCUUUGUAUGGAAGGAAGUGCAGGUCACCUGUCUGCUGGGAGGAAGUUGGAGAAAGGGCCUUAGCAGGGCCUGAGCUAGUAGAGAUCACCAACAUGUUAGUACCCAUCAUCAGAGAGAGAAUUAGAACUGCGGUGAGCAGGCAAAAGAGUUAUGCAGAUGUCCGCAGGAAGCAGGUAGAGUUUUAGGAGGGAGAUUUGGUGUUGCUCAAGGUGUCUCCUAUGAAAGGGGUGAUUCGUUUUGGGAAGAAAGGUAAGCUAGUUCCACGGUACAUCGGACCCUUUGAAAUCUUGCAAAAGAUUGGGAAUAUAUCGUACAAGUUAGACUUACCUGCAUCAAUGGAAAGAAUCCAUCUGGUUUUCCAUGUUUCCAAGUUACGGAAGUUCGUGUCAGAUCCGGGCAAGGUUUUUAGUGAGCCUGAUGUGGAGAUCCUAGGAGAUCUCACCUAUGUUGAGCAGCCAGUGCGGAUCCUUGACACGCAAAUCAGAAAGUUGAGGAACAAGGAAAUCUCGAUGGUGAAAGUCCUUUGGAAUCACCAUAAUGUAGAUGAAUGUACCUGGGAGACACGGGAGUCUAUGCUCCAGCAAUACCCUCAUCUCUUUUAAGGUUAGUAUUUAUGUGGUUUUGUGUGUUAUGCUUGUUUGGCGAACAUUCGGGGAUGAAUGUUCUUAAGGGGGGAGAAUGUAAUACCCGGCUAGACCCCAGCAUCGGAAUUUCUAUUUUCCGGUGGAAUCUCGAAUGUCGGAAACCUCUAGAAGGGUAAAAUGUAUUUUUCUAAAAUGUUUUCAUGUGUUUUAAGGUUUUAAGUAAGAAAGAAAUUGAGUUUUUGAAAGAAAAGUGCCUUGGAAGGAAAUUCAUGUUCGGCCGCCGAACCCCAUGUUCGGCCGCCAAACGUUGGUGACUUUAGGGAGCACCUUUGGCCCCCGAAGGUGGUCUAGCCAGCCACCUAUAAAAGGCCCCAUGUCCGAAAAUGGACGAGUUUUCUUCCCCAUUUUUGGGCAAAGGUGAGUCCAUGCCCUUCCUGUAACAACCCGGAAACCGGACCGUUACCGGCGCUAGGAUCCAGAUCGACAUAAGGCCGCCGGGACCCGUAGCAAGCCUAACAUACAUCCUGUUACUUGGUAAAGUCCCAUACCUGAUCAAACAUUUCAUAAAAAUUUUUCAAACUUUACAUUUUUCCCAACUUGACCUGUACAUGUACUAUAACCAUAACAUAAAAACCUUCUUUUACUGGAGCCCUCAUCAAAUGCUCCAAUUGGGUCAACAUUACAUACCUCAAGCUUGGAUUACAUCCGAUGAACCAAAACCUAACCUAUGCAUGCCUCAAGACCAUAAGCAUAAGACCUCCACUAGAGUCCUCCUCAAUUACUCUAGCGUGGUAAACAUCGCAUGCCACAAGUUUGAUUCAUACACAACUCAACAUUCAAAAUAUUUCAUACAUCAGGUACUAAAAAGGGAUUAACCAAGCCUUAGGGCCAAGCACAACACUAAUCCAUAAACAUGACUCUACUUUACGUUACAUUACAUUACAUUAUCUUGUAAUACAUUAUAUCAAUUUACAUUACAUGUCCACACUAAAACACUAAUCUAUUACAUAAGCAUGACAUUUACCCUUGACGUCUUCCUGGACUACCUCUGACCUGCAAACCUGAGGGUUAGGGGAAAAAGGGUGAGCUAAAAAGCCCAGUGAGCAGAACUAAAAACUAUUAAGUAAAACAUGCCAUCAUGAAAUGCAUCACAUCACAGCAAAUCACAUCAAGGAUGGACUUGUCACCUAUAGCCCUCUACAAAUCUAAUCGUGCCAGAACGUAGAAUGGGUCCUAGUCUUUCACUUAAACACAACAUUCCAAGGUGCUAGGGACGUAGAAUGGGUCUUUCUGGACUUUUCUCUUACAUAGUGCCAGGGACGUAGAAUGGGUCUUCCUGGACUUCCGUACCGUAUCAUAUCAUAUCAUGUCAUCUCAUCUCAUAUUGAGGACUAAGGAUCAUCCAAUAUCCAUCCACAUCAUCAUCAUAUUAUGCAAUGCAUCAUAUUCGUGAAUUCUAAUGCAAACAACCUAUAAUAACAUGGCAUUCGUGAUGCAUGAUCAUGCUAAAAGUUUCAUUAAUUUAAAAGCAUCGUUCUGUUCUACUCACCUCUAGCAGACGCUGGACUGACUCUGCAACAACUAACUCUGCUGACCUCCUCGGUCCCUCGGGUCUGAACCUAUACAGGUGGACUCAAAUGAGGUGCCAAACACACUCUAAACAACUCAUAAAUAAUUCCCCAAAAACUCCCUAAAACAUCCUCAAAACAUACAUAGAAAACACCCAAGAAAGGGCUGGAUAGGGCACUUUCGGCGGCCGAAGGUCCCUUCCAGAGCCGAAAGCCAUACAGGUUCGGGGGCAUUUUCGGCGGCCGAAGUCCCUCUCCAUAUCCGAAAGUCAGGCACUUUCGGCGGCACCUUCGGCGGCCGAAAGUCUGCUCCAGAUCUAAAACUCAACUUUCGGGGGCAAGGUUAGGCGGCCAAACCAUGCAUCCAUAGGCAGGUUCGGCGGCCGAAACUACCUUCGGCGGCCGAACCUGAGUUCAUCCAGAACUCAGCCUCAUAUGCAUACAAGCCUUCCGAACCUUCCAAACACCCAAACCAACCCAAAACCUUAUAUGCUCUCUCCCAAACAUGCAUACACACUCCCACAAGUAUAUAGGGCAUAAACUAACUUAAACCCCAACACAAACAUCACAUAACAUACAUUGGGCACAAAACUCACAUAAACCCUAACAUGCAUAUCUACCCAUACUCAAGCAUUAAAACUUCCUUAAACUUACUUAAAACUUUAUUAAACAUAAAGGAGAGCAAGGACCUACACUUACCUUUUGAAGAUCGAGGGUUGGUGCGAUCCCUAACUCGAAGAUGGGAGAAAACAAACUCCUUAGGUCUCCAAACUCUCAAAACCUUCAUCAAAGCUUAAAAACUUCAAAAUCCAAAAGGAAACUCAUAAAAACGUGAAGGAUUUGAAGAAAGAACAUGAAAUCAGCCAAAGGAGGACAUGAACACACCUGAGCUCGAGAAUGGGGAGAAAACUCGCCCAUUUUCGGUUUGAGGGCCUUUUAUAAGUGGCCGGUCAACCACCUUCGGCGGCCUAAGCUGCUUCCACAACUUCGCCACCUUCGGCAGCAUAACGUGCACCCUAAACUAUCCCAUGUUCGGCGGCCGAACUUGAGGUUCGGCGGCUGAACCUGGUUUCUUCCCUCAAAGCCUUCGGAGGCCUAAAGCACUCCCGAAGCAGCCCCAUGUUCGGCGGCCGAACCUGGGUCCUUCCUCUUUGGCCUAAUUCUUUUCAAAACUCAUUUCUUUUCCAUUUAAAACCAUAAAAUCAAGUGAAAACAUUUUAGAAAACACACUUUACCCCUCUAGAAGACUCUGGCAUCUUCAGAAUUUCAGAUUCCAAUAGAGAUUCCGCCGGAAGGUAGGGAUUCCGAUGCCGGAAUCUAGUCGGGUAUUACAUUCUUCCCCCCUUUAAGAACAUUCAUCCUCGAAUGUUCAAACAAACAGGCAUUCACAAAUCAUAGCAUCAGGCAUACAUAAACAAGCAAGCAAACAAGCAAGCAAAACCUAAAAACUUCUCUCCUAAAAGAGACUCAGGUACCGCUGGAGUAUAAACUCCCGGAUCUCCUAGGCACACUCUUCGAUGUUGUGGUGAUUCCAAAGGACUUUCACCAUCAGGAUUUCCUUGUUCCUUAGCUUUCUGAUCUGGGUGUCUAGGAUCUGCACCGGCUGCUCAACAUAGGUGAGAUCUCCAAGGAUCUCCACAUCAGGCUCACUAAGAACCUUGCCCUGAUCCGACACGAACUUUCGUAACAUGGAAACAUAGAAAAUCGGAUGGAUUGUCUCUAUUGAAGCAGGUAAGUCCAACUUGUACGAUACAUUCCCAAUCUUUUGCAAGAUUUCAAAGGGUCCGAUGUACCGUGGAGCUAGCUUACCUUUCUUCCCGAACCGAAUCACCCCUUUCAUCGGAGACACUUUGAGCAAUACCAAAUCCCCCUCCUAAAACUCUACUUGCCUUCUGCGGAUAUCUGCAUAACUCUUUUGCCUGCUCAUAGCAGUCUUGAUCCUUUCUCUGAUAAUUGGUACUACUCUGCUGGUGAUCUCUACUAGCUCAGGCCCUGCUCAGGCCCUGCCAAGGCCCUUUCUCCAACUUCCUCCCAGCAGACAGGUGACCUGCACUUCCUUCCAUACAAAGCUUCAUAUGGAGCCAUCCCUAUGCUAGCAUGAUAGCUGUUAUUGUAGGCAAACUCCACCAAGGAUAGAUGCUGCCUCCAAGAACCGCCAAAAUCUAGCACACACAUUCUAAGCAUAUCUUCUAUGGUCUGGAUGGUCUUCUCUGAUUGGCCGUCCGUCUGAGGAUGGAAAGCAGUGCUAAAAUCCAACCUGGUACCCAUAGCGUUCUGCAGACUUCGCCAAAACCUGGAGGUGAACUGGGGUCCUCUAUCAGACACUAUUGAAACAGGAACCCCAUGCAACCUGACAACCUCAUCAACAUACACUUGCGCCAACUUAUCCACAGAAUAGCCACUCCUGACUGGGAUGAAGUGAGCAGAUUUAGUCAGUCUGUCCACAAUCACCCAUAUGGAGUCCAAUCUGUUGGAUGUCGCCGGUAACCCCACCACGAAGUCCAUAGCUAUAUUCUCCCAUUUCCACUCUGGGAUCGGCAGUGGGUUAAGCAUUCCAGCCGACUUCUGAUGUUCCAGCUUCACCCUCUGACAUACUUCGCAGGCUGACACGAACUGUGCCACUUCUUUCUUCAUAGCUGGCCACCAAUAAACUCUCUUCAGAUCCUGAUACAUCUUGGUGGCUCCAGGGUGAACACUGUAUCUGGCAUUAUGAGCUUCCCUCAUAAUGUCUCCCUUCAGACCCACGUCAUCUGGUACACAUAAUCUAUUUCCAUAGCGGAGGAUCCCCUUGCUGUCAAAUCUAAACUCAUCAUUCUUGCCUGACUGAGCCAGGCAAUUUUUCACUAACUCUGGGUCCUCAUGCUGUUUUUGAGCCACCUGCUCCAGAAACACAAGUGUCACUCUCAUCUGGGCUAUCAAAGCACCUGUACCAGACAACUCCAACUGCAAACCUUCGUUAAUGAACUUAUGAAACUCCCUCACCACCGAUCUCCUCUCUGCUGUGAUAUGGGACAAACUGCCAAGUGAUUUCCAGCUUAGGGCAUCUGCCACAACAUUUGCCUUACCCGGAUGGUACUGAAUCUUGCAAUCAUAGUCACUAAGCAGUUCUACCCAUCUUCUCUGCCUCAAGUUCAACUCUCUCUAACAACUGACAUUGAGGCUAGUUCCCCAACCUGACUGCUAAACUCUCAACAAGAGCUCGAACCCUCUGACACCCCUCCUACGCACCCUAUGAGCCUGACAAGCUGACAUCAAACCUCUAGGCAUCCUUACCCUGUCCCCUCCGCAGACUACCUCUGACCCAUCCUGUCCUCUGAACCUGACUACCUUGUCUCUACAGCCCAAGGUAGCACCACGAGUAGAAAAACCAAUCCAUCCCUAGAAUGACGUCCAGACAGUCAAGUCUAGGACCUCAAAGUCGGGUGGAAGGUAUCUACCGUCAACUGAUACUGAACUGAACCGGCAGACUAACUCUGCCACAGAUGGAUCACACUCGGGUCCACUGACCUCGAGAGGACACUCUAGCCUAGAAGUUAUCAACCCAACCCAACCCCUCUACGGCUCAUGGAGUAACAAAAGAAAGAGGACCACCAGGGUUCACAAAAGCAUACACAUCAGAACAAACAAAAGUGAGCGUACCUGGCACCACUGUGUUCGAUAUGUUUGCCUCCUGCUAAGCUUGGGUGAAGAUCCGAGCUGGAGCUGAUGGACCUUCUCCACGGGAACCUGAGGAAUAAGGGGCUGACCCUCUCCCUCCACCUCUAACCUGUAACAUGGCUGGUGCUACUGGCUGAGCUGCUCUACCUGAAGUUGCCCGCUGGAAUUGAGCCAACCAGGGUGCAGUGGGACACUCACGUACCAUGUGCCCUGCCUGACCGCAUCUAAAACAUAGAUUAGUCCCAAUCAGACAGACUCCCUUGUGCGGUCUUCCGCACCUCAAGCAUCUUGAAUUGCCUGAGCCAGAGCUUGAGCCACCACCAAAACCCAGACGAGCCACCACCAAAACCCAGACUAGCCUUCAACCUCUUCCAGAACUUACUCUUCUUCGACCUUCUGAGGCCUCUGUCCCCCUUCUUAGGGGUUUUCCACCACUUUACUCCUCUUGAGGCGGCUGUACUCAAAAUGGAGGGAUCAAUCCCUCCUGAACCCGAGAUUCUGGAAUCCUGGGUCUGAGCAUCUUCUUGAGACUCUCCCAUGCCUUCCUCAAAGAGGUUAACCUCCAGGCUGACGUCUCUUCUCUGAACAUUCAUCUCUACUUCUCUUGCAUCAGCUGACAUUCUCCUUAGAUCCAUUCCUUCUCUGCUUACAUCAAAAGACCUUCCAGGGUCCCUUGAUGUUCCCCAUCUGCCGACUCUACACGAAUGCGCUCUUAGCAGAGCAGAGGGAAAGGUGUCCAUACCUUCCCUCUCCAACGGAACUCCAGUCGAUUCCACAGAUCGACGAGUGCCUCACAUCCUGACUCCUCUGAAGAACAACACGCAAGCAUACCAACAAUCAUUAGUAUCAUACGGUUCAUGUGGAAACACAUGAACCUGCAUCACAUACAUCACAUACAUAGCAUAUCAUCAAUGCACAUGCAUAAAAUCAUGGCAUUUCACAUCAUCAUUCAUAGAAGACAAGACUCUACAUCCUAUCCUAGUGGACAUGAUUUUCCUAUUGUGCUUGCCCUCCUAGAACAUCUAUGAGCCCGACACUCUCUACGUUCGACCAUAUGAACCUAGGGCUCUGAUACCAAUCUAUAACGACUCAGAAACCAGACCGUUACCGGCGCUAGGAUCCAGAUCGGCAUAAGGCCGCCGAGACCUGUAGAAAGCCUAACAUACAUCCUGUUACCUGGUAAAGUCCCAUACCUGAUCAAACAUUUCAUAAAAUUUUUUCAAACUUUACAUUUUUCCCAACUUGACCUGUACAUGUACUAUAACCAUAACAUAAAAACCCCCUUUUACUGGAGCCCUCAUCAAAUGCUCCAAUUGGGUCAACAUUACAUACCUCAAGCUUGAAUCACAUCCGAUGAACCAAAACCUAACCUGUGCAUGCCUCAAGACCAUAAGCAUAAGACCUCCACUAGAGUCCUCCUCAAUUACUCUAGCGUGGUAAACAUCGCAUGCCACAAGUUUGAUUCAUACACAACUCAACAUUCAAAACAUUUCAUACAUCAGGUACUAAAAAGGGAUUAACCAAGCCUUAGGGCCAAGCACAACAUUAAUCCAUAAACAUGACUCUACUUUACGUUACAUUACAUUACAUUAUCUUGUAAUACAUUAUAUCAAUUUACAUUACAUGUCCACACUAAAACACUAAUCUAUUACAUAAGCAUGACAUUUACCCUUGACGUCUUCCUGGACUACCUCUGACCUGCAAACCUGGAGGUUAGGGAAAAAGGGGUGAGCUAAAAAGCCCAGUGAGCAGAACUAUAAACUAUUAAGUAAAACAUGCCAUCAUGAAAUGCAUCACAUCACAGAAAAUUACGUCAAGGAUGGACUUGUCACCUAUAGCCCUCUACAAAUCUAAUCGUGCCAGAACGUAGAAUGGGUCUUGGUCUUUCACUUAAACACAACAUUCCAAGGUGCCAGGGACGUAGAAUGGGUCUUCCUGGACUUUUCUCUUACAUAGUGCCAGGGACGUAGAAUGGGUCUUCCUGGACUUUUCUCUUACAUAGUGCCAGGGACGUAGAAUGGGUCUUUCUGGACUUCCGUACCGUAUCAUAUCAUAUCAUGUCAUCUCAUCUCAUAUUGAGGGCUAAGGAUCAUCCAAUAUCCAUCCACAUCAUCAUCAUAUUAUGCAAUGCAACAUAUUCGUGAAUUCUAAUGCAAACAACCUAUAAUAACAUGGCAUUCGUGAUGCAUGAUCAUGCUAAAAGUUUCAUUAAUUUAAAAGCAUCGUUCUGUUCUACUCACCUCUGGCAGACGCUGGACUGACUCUAUAACAACUAACUCUGCUGGCCUCCUCAGUCCCUCGGGUCCGAACCUACACAGGUGGACUCAAAUGAGGUGCCAAACACAUUCUAAACAACUCAUAAACAAUUCCCCAAAAACCCCCUAAAACAUCCUCAAAACAUACAUAGAAAACACCCAAGAAAGGGCUGGACAGGGAACUUUUGGCAGCACUUUCGGCGGCCGAAGGUCCUUUCCAGAGCCGAAAGCCAUACAGGUUUGGGGGCACUUUCGGCGGCCGAAGUCCCUCUCCAGAUCUGAAAGUCAGGCACUUUCGGUGACACCUUCGGCGGCUGAAAGUCUGCUCCAGAUUCAAAACUCAACUUUUGGGGGCAAGGGUAGGUGGCCAAACCAUGCAUCCACAGGUAGGUUCGGCGGCCGAACCUGAGUUCAUCCAGAACUCAGCCUCAUAUGCAUACAAGCCUUCCAAAACUUCCAAACACCCAAACCAACCCAAAACCUUACAUGCUCUCUCCCAAACAUGCAUACACACUCCCACAAGUAUAUAGGGCAUAAACUAACUUAAACCCCAACACAAACAUCACAUAACAUACAUUGGGCACAAAACUCACAUAAACCCUAACAUGCAUAUCUACCCAUACUCAAGCAUUAAAACAUCCUUAAACGUACUUAAAACUUUAUUAAACAUAAAGGAGAGCAAGGAUCUACACUUACCUCUUGAAGAUCGAGGGUUGGUGCGAUCCCUAACUCAGAGAUGGGAGAAAACAAACUCCUUGGGUCUCCAAACUCUUAAAACCUUGAUCAAAGCUUAAAAACUUCAAAACCCAAAAGGAAACUGAUAAAAAAGUGAAGGAUUUGAAGAAAGAACAUGAAAUCAGCCAAAGGAGGACAUGAACACACCUGAGCUCGAGAAUAGGGAGAAAACUCGCCCAUUUUCGGUUUGAGGGCCUUUUAUAGGUGGCCGGUCAACCACCUUCGGCGGCCUAAGCUGCUUUCACAACUUCGCCACCUUCGGCAGCCUAACGUGCCCCCUAAACUAUCCCAUGUUCGGCCGAACAUGGUUUCUUCCCUCAAAGCCUUCGGAGGCCUAAAGCACUCCCGAAGCAGCCCCAUGUUCGGCGACCGAACUUAAGGUUCGGCGGCCGAACCUGGGUCCUUCCUCCUUGGCCUAAUUCUUUUCAAAACUUAUUUCUUUUCCAUUUAAAACCAUAAAAUCAAGUGAAAACAUUUUAGAAAACACACUUGACCCCUUUAGAAGACUCUGGCAUCUUCAGAAUUCCAGAUUCCAACGGAGAUUCCGCUGGAAGGUAGGGAUUCCGAUGCCAGAAUCCAGCCGGGUAUUACACUUCCAUGGUUAGUUUUGGUGAUUUCCUUCCAAUCAUUCAUGUUUUUUAUGAGUUUUAACUUGGUUUUGAAGAUUUUGAGCAAAGAAUGAAGUUUUGAAGCUUGGAGACCCCGGAGCUCGAUUUCUCCCAUCUCCGAGUUUGGAUCGCCUCUCCUCUCGAUUUUCAAGAGGUAAGUGGGUAUCCUACCUUUCUUUUAUGUUUUGAAUAAGUUUUGAGAGGUUUUAAGGGGGUUUUAUGCAUGAUUAGAGUAGUGGUAAAUGUUAGGGUUUAUGUGAGUCAAAUGAUGAAAUGUAUGUUUAUUGUAUGCUAUAUGUUGUUGUUUGUUGGGGUAUAGGAUAGUUUGAGACCCCUAUAUGCUUGUGUACAUGUUUAUGCAUGUUUAGGAGUGUUGUGCAUGAGUUUGGGAAGUUUGGGAGGCAAAAUGUGCAUGAGAGGCUUGAGUUUUCCCAUUCUGGAAGAACUCAGGUUCGGCUGCCGAAGCCAUGUUCGGCCGCCGAACCUGCCUGGGGAGGCAGUUCUGGCUGCCGAACCCUGCCCCUGAAAGUUUGGACUUUCGGCUCUAGAAGGGGGUUUCGGCCGCCGAACCAGCCCCCGAAGGUUGGCGAGUUUCGGCUCUGGAACCACUUUCGGCCGCCGAACCUGCCGCCGAAAGUGACUGAGUUUCGGCUCUGGAACCACUUUCGGCCGCCGAAAGUGCCUUGUUCAGCCUUUCUUUGCAUUGUUUCUAUGAUUGUUUUAAGGUGUUUUAGGGAGUUUUUGGGGAGAUGUUUAGAGUCAUGUUAGUGUGUGUUUGGUCCCUUAUUUGAGUCCACCUGUGUAGAUUCGGACCCGAGGAACCGAAGACCCCAGUAGUGAGGUAGCUGCUUCAGAGUCUGUUCAGAGUCAGCUUGAGGUGAGUAGAAUGGAUCUUUAUGUUUCAAAGUAAAUAAAUUUUGAGCAUGUUUAUGCAUCACGAUUGCCAUGAUAUGUAUUAGGUUGUUUUGCAUUAGAAUUCACGAAUAUGACGCAUUGCAUAAUAUGAUGUAGAUGUGGAUGGAUGUUGGAAGAUCCAUUGGCCCUUGAUAUGAUAUGACAUGAUAUGAUAUGGUAUGGAAGUCCAGGACGAGGCCCAUUCUACGCCCCUGGCACAGAGUAAGAGAAAGACCAGGUCGAGGCCCAUUCUACGCCCCUGGCACUAUUAGAAUGUUAUGUUAUGUGAUGCUAUGUUAAGAGAAAGUCCAGGUCGAGGCCCAGUCUUCGCCCUUGGCAUAUUGGAUAUGGUAGAGGGUCAUUGGUGACAAGUCCAUCCUUGAUGUGAAUUGUUUGUGAUGUGAUGCAUUCCGUGAAAGCAUAUGUUUUGAUAUAUUAUUUCACUAUUCUGCUCACUGGGCUCUAGUAGCUCACCCCUUUCCCUUAACCCCCAGGUUUGCAGGUUCGGGAUAGACGAGGAGGUCAACAAGAGUAAAGGCAUAGUGUAUGUAAUAGUUAGUUGUGGACAUGAAGAAUAAUGUAAUGUAUUGUAAGAUAUUGUUUAAAUUUGUAUUGAGGAUUAGUAUUGUGCUUGACCCUAGAGUUUAUGGUUAAUCCCUUUUGAUACAUGAUCUUUAUGUAAUGUUUUAAUGUAUUUGUUGUAAACCAAGCUUGAUGUAUGUAAUGUUGACCCAGCUAGAGCAUUUGAUGAGGGCUCUAGUGUGGGAUUUUUAUGUAUCCAGUGUUAGUGCAUGCACAGGUCGAGCUUGGUGGAUGGAAAGUUUAAAAUUUUUAUGUAAUUGUAUGAUCAUGUAUGGGAUUUAUCAAGUAUGUCAGGUUGUAUGCUAGGCUUGCUACGGGUCCCGGCGACCUUAAGUCGAUCUGGAUCUUAGCGCCGGCAGCGGUCCGAUUUCGGAUCGUUACAGCAUUAUUUAUCUAUUAAAAAUAUAAUUCAAAAAUAUUAACACUCUAUUUGGAUGGAAAUAGAGUAAAGUUUUAUAUAGUAAGUUUUUUCAUAGUUUUUUAACCUCAAUACUCUUUUAUUGUUUGGAAAGAAGAUUUUUAAAAGUAUUUGAAUGUUUUUAACCUCAAUAAUCAUUAAAUGUUUGGAAAGAAGAUUUUGGAAAAAGGAUUGAAAUUAAAGGUUUAUUAAAAUUAGAGGUUGUUUGAAAGUUUUUAAAAACCUCCAAAAACUUUAUUUUAAAAGCUUUCGCUCGCUUUCAAACAUAAGUUUAAAGUUUUUAAAUUUUGAAAAACUUUCUAUUACCUUAAAAAUCUCUUUUUAAAUAGAGGGUAAAUCAUUUAGUCAUUUAUAUUAAUUAUUAUAUUUGUUUUAAAUUUUUUUCAAAAUCAAAUUUUUAAAUUUUUUUAUAUGUAAAUAUAAAUUUUAAUUUAAUACUAAUUUUUUUAAAUAUAAAUAUAAGGGAGGGAGUACCGUUUUAGUAGUAAUUAAGUUAUUUUUUGAUAAUUUGAGAGAUAAAUAUUUUUAUAUUAAGGCUCAGUUUGUUUUUGAAAAAUAAUUUAUAUUUAAAAAAUAUUUUUCAUGAAAUAUAUUUUUUAAUAAUAUAACUUAUUUUUUAUUAUUUAAUUUUAAUUUAAAAAAUAAAAUUGAUUAAUAAAUUUAUAUAUAAAGAUCUUAAUAAAAUUUUUAAUGUAUGAAAAUGACUUUUUUUUUAAAAAAAAUAUUUUUCUUAAAAUAACUUUUUUUUUCUUUGAUUAGAAAAUUUUUGUUGAUUAAAUUUUCUAAAUGUUCUAAAUGCCAAAAAUUUAUAGAAAAUAUUUUCUUGAAAAAUAGAUUUUUUAAAACAAACAGAGCCUAAUUUUUAAAAAUUUUUAUUCAUAAAUUUAAAAUUUGAACGAAUUAUAAAAAAAAAAAAAGAUGUGCUCAUUAUUUAAUAAUUUAUUUUUCAGAUGAAAAGGCUAGUCCAAGCCUAUUUAGUGGAAGCUAAAUGGUUCAACAAAAAUUACACACCAACAGUAGAUGAGUACAUGAGCAUUGCUCUAUUAUCUUGUGGUUAUCCUUUGCUUACAAUCACAGCAUUUGUUGGAGUGGGAGACAUUGCGACAACGGAGGCCUUUGAUUGGGCUUCUAAAGAUCCUAAGAUUCUUCGAGCUGCAUCGAUGAUUUGUAGACUCAUGGAUGACAUUGUUUCGCAUGAGGUAUGUCACAAUUGAUAUUCUCAAUUCACUAACUAAUCUUUUUUUUUUAAAUUAUUAUUUAAUGUUUUUAUUAUAAAAAAAAAUCAUUAAUUGGAUUUUUAAUUUUAAAAAUUAUAUUAAAAUAUUUUUAAAAUUUUUUAAAAAAGUUUACUAAUUGAUUCAUUCAUUAAUUUUAUCUAGUAAAAAUUAAAAAGAAAUCUAAAAUAUUUUUAAUUAAUAACCAAAAUUUAAAAUAUCCUUAAUUAUUUUUAAUAAAAAAAUAUUAAUUUUAAAAGGAAAAUUCUCUCUGUCUUUUAGCAUAAGAAAUCACAAUAUUAAUUAUAAAAAUCUAAGGCUAAAGAUUAGCCGGUAAAUUUUUUAAAAGUUCAGACUUAUUUUAAUAAAUUUUUUAAAAUCGAUAAUCAAAUAAUAAAUUUUUUUAUUAUAAAAUUUAAAUAAUAAUUUAUCUUUUUAAUUUUUUAUUUUUAUAAAUUCACCCAACACUAUUAUAGAAGAAUUCUAUCCGUUUUCGUACUUACCAAAAUUAAUUAUUUAAUUUCUAUUUCUCAAUCAUUAGAAGAUCUUUAUAUUAUACAUAAUUAAAUAUUUAGUUUUUCUACUAAAUAAAACAUUAAAUUUUAAAAUUUAAUCUGUAAUUUUAAUUAUUCAUAUUAUUUAAUAAUCAUAAAUUUAAUUAUUUAUAUUAUUUAGUUCCCUUAACAAAAGUUAAAAUUUUUUUACUAAUAUUUAAUAAUUAAAAGGUUUAAAAUUUUAUAAAUAUAAAAUAUUUUAAUUAAUUUUUUUUUAAAAAAAUAAAGGUGGUCUAAUUAUUAGUUUGAUGAUACGUAUACUACUGUACGGUAGAAGUGGAGAUACCAAACAAGUCAAGACUGAACUCAAAUGAUUUGAGUUACUUUUUCAAUUUAACACCAUCAGAUUUACAAUUUUAAAAUCAAUAUUAAAAAUAAGCUAAAUUAAUUUAUGGGUUAAACAAUAAUUAAAUUAUGGAUUAUUGCAGUUAUAAAUUUUUAUUUUAUUUUAUUUUAUUUUCUUUAAAAAAAAUAUGAAUUUUUAUAGUUUGAGCAAAAAAGAUGACAAGUUAGUAUCAGCUAUUGAGUGCUAUAUGAAGCAAAAUGUCAUUUCACAACAAGAAGCGCGAGUUGAGUUUAAUAAACAAAUAGUUGAUGCCUGAAAGGACAUAAAUGAGGAGUGCCUUAGACCAUCUAAUGUACUAAUGCCUUUAUUUAUACGUGUGAUUAAUUUGGCACGUGUUAUUGAUUACUUUUAUACAGAUGGAGAUGAGUAUACUCAUGUGGGAGAAUUGAUGAAAAGUUCUAUCAAGUCUAUGCUUAUUGAUUAUGUGAAGAUACUGUAAAAGUAUAUAAGACAAUUACUUUUCUACUUAUUUUAUAAUUAAAUGAAUGUACAAGUCUAGCGGGUAAUGGGAAUAAAUGUUUAAAAAAAAAUUAUGCAGUUUCUCUCCUAAUGGUGGACUUCAUAUAUCUUCUGUUAUGAUUGCGAGAUUGCAUGUCUUCUACUUGGGCUAUAUUCGACAUAUUACCGAUUUAAUUAGCUGUUAAUUAUUUCACUAGUUAUUAGUGGUUAAUUGUUUGUUUAUAUGGUAUUCUGUUCGGUACAAAAUAAAUAUUGAAUUAACUGUUAAAUAUAAAAUGAUAAUAAAAAAUAUAAAUAAAUUUAUAAAUUUAUAAAAAAAAUAAAAGAAUAUAUAUAAUUGUUAAAAAGAUAAAAUUAGUGGUUGUCCAUCACUAAACAUUUUGGAGAAUAGCUUCAAUAUUCACUAGUUUAACCAAUAAAUAUUACUAUAAAAUAGUAGUUAUCAAAUAAUAAAUAAUAAAAAUUAUUUUUUUUACUCAAUAUAAAUACUAAAAAUUACCACUAAAUACUGUUGUCAAAUAGAGCCUUAAUGUCUUUCCCCUUUAUUAGAUCUUUUUGGCUUCUAUUUAUCAACCUUCUUUAUCACCUCCUUUUUUACAUUUUCACCUUUCUUAUUUGUAUUUCUCAUUAUCAUGUUGAGCCCAAAUGUCCAAACGACUUAAAUGAACUUAUUAAUAUGAUUGAAUCUCUUAGUUGUGAAGAGCUUCUACUUCCUCUUACCCACUUUUAAUAGCAAACUAGCUAGUAGCAAAGAUUGUAGGUUGUAGAGAAUAUAGUCCUUAGAUUCUCAAAUUUACUCUAAGUAAAGCUUGAAAACAUCAUCUAAGUUUACAAUUAAUAGGAGUUCGAAUGGGAGCUUAAUUUUCUAUUUUGAAGAUAUACAUGAAUCGGCGAUGAUGUGACUGGUUGCUUGAUCGGUAAUAUCGCCAACUAAUAGGUUAGUGAUCCCGUGAUCACACAGGCAUGAUGAGAAUAUGCAGAACUGUCCCUAUUUAACAGUAACUUUGUAUCGAGGCUCGCCUCAUCCUGGGGAGGGCGAGUCUGGGUGAAGAUUCAGGUGUUAAGAUGCUCGAGUCUUCCAUUUCUCGGGCAGGACCACAUUACUUACUUAUCAGAUCCUUACCAUGUGACCUCUGUCUCGUGGUGACAACUCAUGGAUUAUUUUUUGUGCUUGUUAUGUAGCAUCAAAGGUCCCCCGUUGGUUUUUGAUUCUUCAAAUUCGAAAGAGAUAUAUGUUCCCAAGAUCUGGGGUAUGUGGCCCACUAAAAUUGGUCUUUCGUUGCUCAUACCGUUUCACCUAUCUAGCCCCACUAUGAUGACUGCUCUACUUAUUGUGCUACAUUUA